UACGUAGGGGGGCAAGCGUUUGUCCGGAAUCAUUGGGCGUAAAGCGCGCGUAGGCGGCCCGGUAAGUCCGCUGUAAAAAGUCCAGGGCUCAACCCUGGAAAGCCGGUGGAUACUGUCGGGCUAGAGUCCGGAAGAGGCGAGUGGAAUUCCUGGUGUAGCGGUGGAAUGCGCAGGAGUAUCAGGAGGGAACACCCGAUGGCGAA
rnacentral:rRNA from 1 species